rnacentral:rRNA from 1 species
AUACGGAGGGUGCGAGCGUUGUUCGGAAUCACUGGGCGUAAAGGGCGCGCAGGCGGUCUGUCAAGUCAGAUGUGAAAGCCCACGGCUCAACCGUGGACGUGCAUCUGAAACUGGCAGACUCGGGUACCGGAGGGGAAAGUGGAAUUCCCGGUGUAGAGGUGAAAUUCGUAGAUAUCGGGAGGAAUACCGGAGGCGAAGGCGACUUUCUGGACGGAUACUGACGCUGAGGCGCGAAAGCGUGGGGAGCGAACAGGAUUAGAAACCCGUGUAGUCC